GAAUUCUUUAACAUAUAAGGUGCUUUUACUCAUUUGUAAAAGAUAAUAGGGAAUCAAGUUAUAAUCUUGAGCAGCACCCACUACUGUAAUUUGGACGAAAGUUUCUAAACCACUGUUUGUAUACGGGAAGGGAAACAAUUAGGAUGAAGAUAAGCCAGGAGACCUGCCUUUUAUGUAAAACUGAAU
rnacentral:ncRNA from 21 species